GAUGUGCACAAUGUGGACGACAAACUCAAAGAACUGACUCUGCAGUACAUGUGUGCAACAACACACUACAUUUUUUAUGUAGCAGUGAAAGAGGCGUGCUUGUACCUCACUGAGAAAUCCACAAAACUCAACUACAUGGAUGUCAAUAGAGAGUGCACUGAAAUGGAGUCUUAGAGAGAGAGAGAGAGAGUGAGAGAGAGAGAGACUGAGAGAGAGAGAGAGAGACAAAGAAAGCGAGAGAGAGAGAAAAAAGAGAGAGAGACAGAGAGAGAGAGUAUCUACAAAGUGUUGUACAGCAUGGUUUAAAUCUACUGAAGUACGAUUUUCUCAGUUUACUGUAACUUUAAAAAUUAAAUUUACUUUAAAUUCA